AUUAAUUAAGCACAAUUUUGGGUACAGUUCGUUGAAAUAGUAUAUUUCAUGUAACGACACACUCCACUAGCAAUAAUAAUUCAUUGGGCCCAACCACUGGCCCAAAAUGAUUAAGCCCAGUUAUUAUUACUAGUGUCUAAGUCUCUUAUAUACCCAAUCACAUCCUCAUUUCUAUCCAAUAUGAAAUUAUUGGGGUGUGACAUUUUACUUACAAGAUAAUUUGUUCUCUUAUUAGAAAAUUAA
rnacentral:lncRNA from 1 species